ensembl:lncRNA
AUGAGAUUUGUGUUCAUCAGAUCCUUAUUGUUCCUGCCUCAUUUCCUGCAUAACUAUGAAAAAGUAAGGACCAGGGUAACCCAAAUACAUGCCAUGGUUGUCAGAACCUUACUCACCAAAACAAUGGGCAAUGGCUGUUUUAAAAGAACUAUUUUUAUAAGGUUAGAACAUGAAGGAAAAUACUGUAUUGAGUAUGAGAAACCUUCUAAUAUUAAAAGUAUAUGCGGAUCCUACAUAUGGCAAUAUUUAGUGAAAACAGAACAAAGAGAGAGUGAAACUGAGAUAUACAUGCUGUUAGGCAUAUUUUCUUUUUUUUAUUGCAUUUUAGGUUUUGGGGUUAGAAUUGACUUGGCUAUGUGGGCUCUCUUUUGGUUUCAUAUAAAGUUUAAGGUGGUUUUUUCCAGUUCUGUGAAGAAGGUCAUCGGUAGCUUGAUGAGGAUAGCGUUGAAUAUGUAAGUUACUUUGGGCAGUAUAACCCUUUUCACGAUAUUGAUUCUUCCUAACCAUGAACAUGGAAUGUUCCUCCAUCUGUUUGUGUCCUCUCUUAUUUCAAUGAGCAGUGGUUUGUAGUUUUACUUGAAGAGGUCCCUUAUGUUCCUUGUUAGUUGUAUUUCUAGGUAUUUUAUUCUCUUUGUAGCAAUUUUAAAUGGCAGUUCUGUCUUGAUUUGGCUCUCUUUAAGUCUGUUAUUGGUGUAUAGGAAUCCUUGUGAUUUUUGCACACUGAUUUUUGUAUCCUGAGACUGCUGAAGUUGCUUAUCAGUUUCAGGAGAUAUUGGGCUUAGACGAUGGGGUCUUCUAGAUAUACUAUCAUGUCAUCUGCAAAUAGAGACAAUUUGGCUUCGUCCUUUCCUAUUUGAAUACCCUUUAUUUCUUUUUCUUGUCUGAUUGCUCUGGCUAGAACUUCCAGUACUAUAUUGAAUAGGAGUGAUGAGAGAGGGCAUCCUUGUCUAGUGCCAGAUUUCAAAGGGAAUGCUUCCAGUUUUACCCAUUCAGUAUAAUAUUGGCUGUUGGUUUGUCUUAAAUAGCUUUUAUUAUUUUGAGAUACAUUCCGUCAAUACUGAGUUUAUUGAGGGUUUUUAGCAUAAAGCACUGUUGAAUUUUGUCAAAGGCCUUCUCUGCAUCAAUUGGGAUAAUCAUGUGGUUUUUGUCUUUGGUUCUGUUUAUGUGGUGAAUUACGUUUAUAGACCUGUGUAUGUUGAACCAGCCUUGCAUUCAUCCCCGGGAUGAAUCCUACUUGAUCAUGAUGGAUAAGCUUUUUGAUGUGCUGUUGCAAUUGGCUUGCCAGUAUUUUAUUGAAGAUUUUCGUGUCUAUGUUCAUUGUGGAUAUUGGCCUGAAGUUUUCUUUUCUUGUUGAGUCUCUGCUGGGUUUUGGUAUCAGGAUGAUGUUGGUCUCAUAAAAUGAUUUGGGAAGGAUUCCCUCUUUUGGAUUAUUUGGAAUAGUUUCAGAAGGAGUGGUAAUAGUUCCUCUUUGUGUGUCUGGUAGAAUUCGGCUGUGAACCCAUCUGUACCUGGGCUUUUUUUGGGUGGUAGGCUCUUAAUUGCUUUCUCAACUUCAGAUCUUGUUAUUGGUCUAUUCAUGGUUUCGACUUCUUGCUGGUUUAGUCUUGGGAGGAUACACGUGUCCAGGAAUUUAUCCAUUUCUUCCAGGUUUUCUAGUUUAUGUGCAUAAAGUUGUUUGUAAUAUUCUCUGAUGAUGGUUUGAAUUUCUGUGGAAUCUGUGGUGAUUUCCCCUUUAUCAUUUUUUAUUCCAUCUAUUGGUGAUUUCCCCUUUAUCAUUUUUUAUUCCAUCUAUUUGGUUAUUCUCUCUUUUCUUUUUUAUUAAUCUGGCUAGUGGUCUAUUUUGUUGAUCUGUUCAAAAAACCAGCUCCUGAAUUUAUUUAUUUUUUGAAGGGUUUUUCAUGUCUCUAUCUCCACCAGUUCUGCUCUGAUCUUAGUUAUUUCUUGCCUUCUGCUAGGUUUUGAGUUUUUUUGAUCUUGCUCCUCUAGCUCUUUCAAUUUUGACGAUAGGGUGUCAAUUUUGGAUCUCUCCACUCUUCUCAUAUGGGCACUUAUUGCUAUACAUUUUCCUCUUGAGACUGCUUUAAAUGUGUCCCAGAGAUUCUGGUAUGUUGUGUCUUUGUUCUCAUUGGUUUCGAAGAACUACUUUAUUUCUGCCUUCAUUUCAUCGUUUAUCCAGUCAACAUUCAAGAGCCAGUUGUUCAGUUUUCAUGAAGCUGUGCAGUUCUGAGUUAGUUUCUGAAUUCUGAGUUCUAACUUGAUUACACUAAGGUCUGAGAGACUGUUUGUUAUGAUUUCAGUUGUUUUGCAUUUGCUGAGGAGUGCUUUACUUCCAAUUAUGUGGUCAAUUUUAGAGUAGGUGUGAUGUGUUGCUGAGAAGAACGUAUAUUCUGCUGAUU